GCGCCAGGUUUGCUACUGCGGCUGGUCUGAACUCACGACCGACCAGGGUCUGAGAAUCCAUCAGAUGGAAUGCAGGUCGAAGGGAGCGAGCGUUGCAAAGAGCGACGAGUACAACUGGAAAAAUCUCUCGGUCAAAAACGAGAGCGUACCUGCAUCUCCAAACCUCUUUACGGUUACCCUAACCAAUACAGCCACUGAGGCCUCAGUGAUGGACAUGAUCCAGUCAAGUAGGUUUUAUAAUUGGUUUGUUUAAAAAAUUAAAUAAAGGGUUAUAUAUUGAGCUGUCCUAUUUUCUACGCAGUGGUUGGGAAUCAGCAGGACACAGCAACAAUAAACCAAGCCUUUCAAUUCAACACUGGUAAUGAGCCUGUCUUCAUGUCCCAGACCUUCAAUACUCAACUUUACCCUGCAUUUGCUAACGUGGCAGUGAAGGGGGAAAAUGAAACAUUCUUCCAGACUCCUCCUCCUCAGUCGUCACAUCCAAGUAUCACUAAAUUUGACAAAGCUCGC